UACGGAGGGUGCAAGCGUUGUCCGGAUUUAUUGGGUUUAAAGGGUGCGUAGGCGGUUUUGUAAGUCAGUGGUGAAAUCUCAGAGCUCAACUCUGAAUGUGCCAAUGAUACUGCAAGACUUGAGAGCAGUCGAGGUAGCUGGAAUGUGUAGUGUAGCGGUGAAAUGCAUAGAGAUUACACAGAACACCAAUUGCGAAGGCAAGUUACUAGACUGUUUCAGACGCUGAUGCACGAAAGUGUGGGUAGCGAACAGG
rnacentral:rRNA from 1 species